UACGGAGGAUGCGAGCGUUAUCCGGAUUUAUUGGGUUUAAAGGGUGCGCAGGCGGCGUGCCAAGUCAGCGGUAAAAAUGCGGUGCUCAACGCCGUAGAGCCGUUGAAACUGACAUGCUAGAGUGAGCGAGAAGUAUGCGGAAUGCGUGGUGUAGCGGUGAAAUGCAUAGAUAUCACGCAGAACCCCGAUUGCGAAGGCAGCAUACCGGCGCUCAACUGACGCUCAGGCACGAAAGUGCGGGGAUCAAACAGG
rnacentral:rRNA from 1 species